rnacentral:misc_RNA from 1 species
GCCUCUUAUGGAUCCUCUUGUGACUCUAUUUGGUAGUGUCCAUGAGAAGCUCCCUGAUACAGGAAGUAUGAGGAGCAUGCUAUUCCCCAAUUUCGGAAGCAUGAUCAGCACCAUGGAUCCUCAUGUCAAAGAUGAUCACUGGGAUGAGGAGAGUCUGCAGAGAGAAGGUGAUGAUUAUCCUUCGGAUGGCGGUGCAGAUUCUGAUGACAAUCUACAAAGUCCAUUGAUAUCACGUCAAACAACCGCUGUGGAAACCGUAGUCCCUCAUCCCCAUGGCAGCACUAUGAGCGUGAGGCGGCAUAGCAGCCUAAUGCAAGGCAAUGCUGGAGAGGGUGUAGGCAGCAUGGGCAUUGGUGGUGGUUGGCAGUUGGCAUGGAAAUGGUCUGAAAGGGAAGGUGAAGAUGGAAUUAAAGAAGGAGGCUUCAAAAGGAUAUAUUUGCAUCAGGAGGCGGGCCCUAGCUCUCGACGUGGGUCUCUCGUUUCAGUUCCUGGUGGCGAUAUUCAUGAAGAUGGUGAAUUCAUACAAGCUGCGGCUUUGGUAAGUCAGCCUGCAGUUUACUCUAAGGAACUUAUGGAUCAGCAUCCUGUGGGACCAGCAAUGGUCCAUCCAUCUGAAACUGCUUCAAAAGGUCCGAGUUGGGCUGCUCUUCUUGAACCAGGAGUCAAGCGAGCGCUCAUAGUUGGAAUUGGAAUUCAAAUAUUGCAACAGUUCUCUGGUAUAAAUGGAGUCAUGUACUACACUCCUCAAAUCCUUGAGCAGGCAGGUGUAGGAGUUCUUCUUUCUAACUUUGGCAUCGCAUCAGACUCAGCAUCCUUCCUCAUCAGUGCGUUAACAAACUUCCUGAUGCUCCCUUCUGUAGCAAUUGCAAUGCGGUUCAUGGAUGUGGCUGGCAGAAGGUCGCUGCUGCUGUACACUAUUCCUGUUCUCAUACUAUCACUCAUCUGUCUUGUCAUUGGUAACACUGUCAACCUGGGGAGUGUAGCUCAUGCAGUCGUUUCUACUAUUUGCGUGAUUCUCUACUUUUGUUUCUUUGUGACGGGCUAUGGACCCAUCCCAAAUAUCCUCUGCUCAGAAAUUUUUCCAACUAGGGUUCGUGGUUUGUGCAUCGCCAUCUGUGCUCUCGUCUUCUGGAUAUGUGAUGUCAUUGUGACUUACACACUGCCUGUGAUGCUCAACUCGAUUGGUUUAUCUGGCGUGUUUGGUAUUUAUGCCAUUGUCUGUGUCAUUUCUUGGAUUUUCGUCUUCUUAAGGGUUCCCGAAACCAAAGGCAUGCCCUUAGAAGUCAUUACAGAGUUCUUUGCU